GCACAUGCGCGGCAGCUCCCGCUGCUGAAUAGCUGAGAGGCGCACCCGGCCGGCCAGCUGGGCUCGGAGUGCAGCGGGGUCAGGAUGGACGAGGACGUAUUGCACCCUGAAGAGCCUCAUCAUCGGUGAGAGUGGGGUGGGCAAGUCCAGCCUGCUCUUGAGGUUCACAGAUGAUACGUUUGAUCCAGAACUUGCGGCAACAAUAGGUGGUCCACUUUACAUCGCUUUCCAGACAACUGGAAUUUGAGACAAUGUCUGUGACAGCAGUUGCUUUGUUUUCACCUGGCAUAUGUUCUCAUCAUACUGCUUGCAGUCACAUCAUGCUGCAGACAAUGCAGGAAUCACAUGAACCUGUCCAUCCACAGAUGAAGUGGUAAAGAAACUGCCGUAUUAGAUACAUGAUGGUAUACUCUUCAGCCAUAAAGCUUUGGGAAACCCUGUCAUCCGCAACCACGUAGAGAAACCUGUCCAUCCACAGAUGAAGGGAUCAGGAAACUCUGGUAUAUACACUGAAGGGAAAUGCUUUUUGGCUACCAGAAUAAUGAAAUUAUGUUGUUUGGAGCAACACAGAUGAACCUGUCCAUCCACAAAUGAAGACAUCAAGAAACUCUAGUAUGUACACAAGGCAAAACACUUCAGCCAUCAAAAUCAUGACAUUAUGUCACUUGGAGCAACACAGUUGACCUGCCAAGGCUGCCUCUUCCUCCAUAGGCAGAUGAACGCUGUGGCUGCUGCUCCUGCCUGGGCCAUGCCCUGACGCUGCCAACACCACUGGUCCUCUAUCUAUUUAUAAAUGUUAAUACAGUUGCUGACCCAACAAUAACUGAACAGCUGAUAAUGUACCUCACACUAAGCCAGGUGCUUCAUAUGUAUCUAACUUGAAAAAUGCUGAGCUAGUUACCUUAACAUCAUUAACUUUUACUUAAAAGUUUGUUUUUCUUCUUUAAUCCCAGUGAGCUCCAAACAAGUUUUAGGAGGCUCCCCAAAACCAGUGAAGACUUUAACUAAAAGUAGAAUUUCAAAGUACUUUAAUUUUAUUAGAAACCAAACCCCAAAAUUAAAUGUGAAGAUCAGUGUCUGUACUGAACUGGCCCAUCUGGUGGACAUAGGAUUUGUGUUAUCGACUAGAAUGUUACCCAGGAUUCACGAUUUCUAGCAUCUGUCAGUGUUAAGAAAAUUGGAUUGAGUACCAAAUACGGCAGAACAAACCCGGCUUUGAGGCAAGGACCCCAUCAAGUAGUCAGGCAGUACUUUUGUUAGAGUUCUGGGCGCAAGUCUUCCUCAUCCCUCCCACCUUCUCCUGGCCUCCUUGUAAACCCAAACCGCCAGGCACCUCAAUUUUCUUCAAGGCCAGGCUGUUCUUAAUGUUGGUAAAUUGGUCAAGGAAGUGGGUGAGCCACUGCUUGCUCUGCACAUCGUCCUCAGGGUGCUCGGUCUUCAGACAGUACAGCAGCUGCAUGGCUUUGGCCCUCAGGAGUAACUGGCCCAUUCCUAGGCUGUCCCCAAAGAUGUGUCCUCUGAAGAAGCUGGUCAAGUAGAGGGGGUGUCCACCAUGGUUAUAGAUGGGGAAGGAGAUGCUGCUCAGGUCGAGCGUUUUGUCCACCUGCCAGGCGUACAGGAGCGGGUUGGGGACACCACGCAGAGCAUCUUGUACCUCGUGCACACCUGCUGGUACUGGAUCUGGCUUGUGUCUCCCUGCGCCACAUGCAGAUCCUGCACUGUACUGUCCAGUCAACUGACUUCAGCAAAGAUGUCUGGGUUCAGCAGCGAGUUGCUGUGUGAGGCCACCAGAAUGGAGGUGAUAUCAGCCUCGGUGCUCGUCCUGGAGGUGGAGAAGUGGUCGGAGUCCUCUGCGGUGAAAUGGCCCUGCACCAAAGUGGGAGACAUUCAGAAUCGAGGUGAAAUUGGCCUCAGUGCUCCUCUUGGAGGCAGGGAAGCAGUGGUGAAAUGGCCCUGUGUGAAUGUGGGAGACCAGCAGACUGGAGGUGGAAUUGGCCUCAGUGCUUGUCCUGGAGGUGGAGAAGCAGUCAGAGUCCUUGGUGGUGAAGUGGCCCUGCACGACACGUUGCUCCCCCUUGGCCAGUGAAAGAAUAAAAGAAAGCUGGCCACUUGCAUUUCCAUUUCAGCUUAUAGAAUAUGUGUUUUGGAAAUAGUAUCUUCUAGAUCUGUCUUUUUUUCUUCUGAUUUAACUUAGUAAAGCUAAGUUUUAUCUCUUCAUAGUCUUGCUUUUGUUUCAAAAGCUUUUAUGAGAUUUGUUUACUGUGUGUGGCUAUAUGGCAGACAAUUUGUUCAAGUGGCAUGCCUCCUCUUUCUCACAUUGACCUCCUCAGGAAGAGUUUUUCAAGGUCAAUGAGUCUUCUCUCUGAGAUAAGAAUAGUAGCCAGAAUUAAGAGGGUAAAGUGCAUUGUGGAAUUAAGUCCUGAUUCCAGUGGAAACUCAGUUUAUGGCCUUAGACAAAUAUUUACACUUCUGAUCCUCAGUUUUCUGUCAAAGAACUUCUGCUCAUAUCCAAUUCCUAUUAAGUGGGAGUACUCUGACCUGAUAUUACCAAUAUUAGGUUAGAUUUUAUCCUAAUGUUAGGUAUUAGAAUAUAUCCUAACAUUACUAGUUCUUCACUCUUACUAAAGUGCAUGUUAGAUUUCUUCAAUGAUUUUUUUAAAUUGGCAUGGUUGAUACAAAGCAUCCUUCUAUCCAAAUACUGUGCUCAGUCGCCUAAGUGAUAGUUUAGAACCAUACUAUCUCUCUGUGGAAAGAAUGCUGGGGCUCCUGGCUACACACUUUGACUAGAAGGGAAAAUACCCCUCUUGUGUUUAUGAUGGUUUUUCUUUCUACUUGAUUAAGAAGAAAGUACAAAAAGGUGCUUAUUGAAGCAUUGUCAAUUUGGGAACAAGAGUCUCAGGAAUGAAAUAUUUGUGACUGUUCUCAGCGUGAAAGGUAGAGAGAUGAUUACUUGAUCAUUAUGUGCUUAUUUGAAAGUCACUUUCCUCCCAUGCCUCAGCAUCUCACUUUUUAGAAUGCACACUGAAUGCCUGGGAUCUCUUUGUUUUAGAAAAGACAAAGUUGCAUUGUUAAAAGAAUAAUAUUUCUGGGGAAAAGGCUCAGUGCUCAACGGUUACUGUAUAAAGAGAUUUAAAAAGAAAGUCAAGGGAAGGUAAGGAAGGUAACAUGGCUAACAACCUUGUGGGUUCUACUAGCAUUAUUUCAUGCAAAAUGUCAUUACCCUUAAUAUAGGAGAGAAUAAGUCUGGGAAUCCACUGGCAUCUAAACUCCAUUUCUUGUUUUGUCACUGCUUCCCCAGUUGACUAUGGAAAAUACAUUUAGUCUUUUGAUAUCUUGGUUUCAACAACUAUAACAUGACAAGAACUUUUAUGCAUGGA